rnacentral:piRNA from 1 species
CAUGAAGUAAGAGAAGCUGUGUGC